AGUGGCCCUUAUCAGAGCUGCAGCGGCUGCCACGGAGCUGCCGUGGUCACAGAGGGGCCCAGCCGUUCUGUUUGCUGUAACUGGUCCGCAACAUUUCAGGAAAAGACAGUU